GAUGAACGCUGGCGGCGUGCCUAAUACAUGCAAGUCGAGCGAACAGACGAGGAGCUUGCUCCUCUGACGUUAGCGGCGGACGGGUGAGUAACACGUGGAUAACCUACCUAUAAGACUGGGAUAACUUCGGGAAACCGGAGCUAAUACCGGAUAAUAUAUUGAACCGCAUGGUUCAAUAGUGAAAGACGGUUUUGCUGUCACUUAUAGAUGGAUCCGCGCCGCAUUAGCUAGUUGGUAAGGUAACGGCUUACCAAGGCAACGAUGCGUAGCCGACCUGAGAGGGUGAUCGGCCACACUGGACCGGAGACACGGUCCAGACUCCUACGGGAGGCAGCAGUAGGGAAUCUUCCGCAAUGGGCGAAAGCCUGACGGAGCAACGCCGCGUGAGUGAUGAAGGUCUUCGGAUCGUAAAACUCUGUUAUUAGGGAAGAACAAAUGUGUAAGUAACUAUGCACGUCUUGACGGUACCUAAUCAGAAAGCCACGGCUAACUACGUG
rnacentral:rRNA from 1 species